GACGAACGCUGGCGGCGUGCUUAACACAUGCAAGUCGAGCGGUAAGGCCCUUUCGGGGGUACACGAGCGGCGAACGGGUGAGUAACACGUGGGUGACCUGCCCUCAGCUCUGGGAUAAGCCUGGGAAACCGGGUCUAAUACCGGAUAUGACUCCAUGACGCAUGUUGUGGGGUGGAAAGCCUUGUGCGGCUGAGGAUGGGCCCGCGGCCUAUCAGCUUGUUGGUGGGGUGAUGGCCUACCAAGGCGACGACGGGUAGCCGGCCUGAGAGGGCGACCGGCCACACUGGGACUGAGACACGGCCCAGACUCCGUACGGGAGGCAGCAGGUGGGGAAUCUUGCGCAAUGGGACGAAAGCCUGACGCAGCGACGCCGCGUGA
rnacentral:rRNA from 1 species